GUAGAUACUCAUCCCACUUCUUAUGACAGCAUAUGGCUUCAUAAACCCCAGGAUGAUGUAGAGCUGAUUAUCAGUGCCUAUGGUCCACGUUAUAGAUGAGUAAGCAUCACUGUCUUUUCAUCACAAACCGGACACAACGUUGAGUGAGGCACUAUCCGUCUGUAAACCUGAUUGUAUUUAUGCACCUGUCUUUUUUGAUAGGUGUUUUUUU
rfam:Xenorhabdus beddingii strain DSM 4764 Xbed_5, whole genome shotgun sequence.